GAGUUUGAUCCUGGYUCAKAACGAACGCUGGCGGCGUGCUUAACACAUGCAAGUCGAACGUGAUCCGGAGCUUGCUCCGGUGAAAGUGGCGCACGGGUGAGUAACGCGUGGAUAAUCUGCCCUGGUAUCUGGGAUAACAUCKCGAAAGGGGUGCUAAUACCGGAUAAGCCCACGGGAUCCUCGGAUUCUGCGGGAAAAGGUGGCCUCUAUUUAUAAGCUACCGUAUCAGGAUGGGUCCSCGUACCAUUAGCUAGUUGGUGGGGUAAUGGCCUACCAAGGCRACGAUGGUUAGCUGGUCUGARAGGAUGAUCAGCCACACUGGAACUGARACACGGUCCAGACUCCUACGGGAGGCAGCAGUGGGGAAUUUUGCGCAAUGGGGGAAACCCUGACGCAGCAACGCCGCGUGAGUGAUGAAGGCUUUCGGGUCGUAAAGCUCUGUCAGAGGGGAAGAAAUGAGACUGGCUAAUAUCCAGUUUUCUUGACGGUACCCUCAAAGGAAGCACCGGCUAACUCCGUGCCAGCAGCCGCGGUAAUAC
rnacentral:rRNA from 1 species